rnacentral:tRNA from 1 species
UGAUCUGUGGCUUAGUUGGAUAAAGCGUCGGACUAUAGAGAUAUGGAGUCGUGGGUUCGAAUCCUAUCUAAGCAA